GUGUAUGAUUGUGCGGUGGUUUUAGCGUGAUACACAGUAUUCAACGACAUCUUGGAGCGGCGAUGGAAGGCGCGGCUACAGGCGAUCCUGCUUGGGCGAGGUUAAAACCUGGAAGUGGCUAUGGAGACGGGCUUGGCAUUCGCGUGGACUCUCCUUCAGUCCUUCGGGGCUUCGACUUGAAUAUGCCUUCAAUGACCCGCGCGCAUAGGAAGGUUUCACUUUGGUAGGAGGGAUAUGCCAAAUCAAUAUCUCAAAUAGGUUGAUGACGAUGGUGAUUGUUUGUAGUGAUUUUCUGUUUGUGUAUGACAAAAACAAAUAUUUUAUAUUUUGUGUA